rnacentral:lncRNA from 1 species
NNNNNNNNNNNNNNNNNNNNNNNNNNNNNNNNNNNNNNAGCGCCUCGCCUCGCUCCUCACACACGCACACACACACACACACACACACACUCCGGCUGUCCUCACACACCCCGCCUGAACACACACACACACCGCCUGUCCUCACACAGCCCUCCUCGCCCACACAGGCUCAGCCCUCCUCAACAGCCCCCGCCUGUCCUGGUGUGGACAGCCCUCCUCACACACACACACGGUGUGGACAGCCCUCCUCAUACACACACACACUCACAGCCGGCCUGUCCUCACGUACAGCCUGACACACACACACAAACGCCACCUGUGCUCACACACACACAUCUGCCUGUACUCACACACACAUCUGCCUGUACUCAGCCCUCCUUCCACACACACUGGGUAUCCUCACAGCCCUCCUCACACACACAUCCGCCUGUACUCACAGCCUUCUGUACAGACACACACGUGUCCGCCUGUAGUCACAUCUCUCCUCACACAGUGGUUAUACUCGCAGGCCUCCUCACACACUUGUCUGCCUGUACUCACAGCCCUCCUUCCACACACACUGGGUAUCCUCACAGCCCUCCUCACACACACAUCCGCCUGUACUCACAGCCUUCUGUACAGACACACACGUGUCCGCCUGUAGUCACAUCUCUCCUCACACAGUGGUUAUACUCGCAGGCCUCCUCACACACUUGUCUGCCUGUACUCACAGCCCUCCUUCCACACACACUGGGUAUCCUCACAGCCCUCCUCACACACACAUCCGCCUGUACUCACAGCCUUCUGUACAGACACACACACAUGUCCGCCUGUAGUCGCAUCCCUCCUCACAGGCCUCCUCACGUCUGCCUCACAGCCCUCCUUCCACACACACUGCAUAUACCCUCCUCACGCACACGUCUGCCUGUACUCACAGCCCUCCUUCCACACACACUGGGUAUACCCUCCUCACACACGUCUGCCUGUACUCAUAGCCCUCCUUCCACACACACUGGGUAUACCCUCCCCACACACGUCUGCCUGUACUCACAGUCUGUGUCACACACACACAGCUGUACUCACACACAGCCCUCCUCACACCCCCACACAUCCGGCCUGUGCUGACAGCCUUCUUCACACACACCAGGCCUUCUCACACACACAGCCUCCAUGUAC